rnacentral:miRNA from 1 species
CUGGUUUUAUUUCUAAGGUGAUUCAUAUUUCUCUCUCUCUCUCUCUCUCUCUAUAUAUAUAUAUAUAUAUAUAUAUAUAUAUAUAGAGAGAGAGAGAGAGAGAGAGAAAUAUGAAUCACCUUAGAAAUAAAACCA